GGUUUCAUCGUAUAAUGGUUAGUACAACAGAUUCUGACUACUCAAAGUUGUUCUGUAGACCUGGGUUCAAUUCCCAGUGAGACCU